UGUCCCAGGUGCAGGCCUGGCCUGGUGCAGCCCUCAUAGACCCUAUCCAACACAUGCACUGUCUCUGGGUUCUCAUUAACCAGCACUGGUGUAUACUGGGUUCGCCAGCCUCCAGGAAAGGGUCUGGAGUAGAUGGGAAUAAUGGAAUAUAAUGGAAACACAGAUUAUAAUUCAGCUCUCAAAUCCCGACUGAGCAUCAGCAGGGACACCUCCAAGAGCCAA